rnacentral:rRNA from 1 species
GACGAACGCUGGCGGCGUGCUUAACACAUGCAAGUCGAGCGGUAAGGCCUUUCGGGGUACACGAGCGGCGAACGGGUGAGUAACACGUGGGUGAUCUGCCCUGCACUUCGGGAUAAGCCUGGGAAACUGGGUCUAAUACCGGAUAUGACCUCCUAUCGCAUGGUGGGUGGUGGAAAGAUUUAUCGGUGCAGGAUGGGCCCGCGGCCUAUCAGCUUGUUGGUGGGGUAAUGGCCUACCAAGGCGACGACGGGUAGCCGACCUGAGAGGGUGACCGGCCACACUGGGACUGAGACACGGCCCAGACUCCUACGGGAGGCAGCAGUGGGGAAUAUUGCACAAUGGGCGAAAGCCUGAUGCAGCGACGCCGCGUGAGGGAUGACGGCCUUCGGGUUGUAAACCUCUUUCAGCAGGGACGAAGCGAAAGUGACGGUACCUGCAGAAGAAGCACCGGCUAACUACGUG